GGCGCACGGGUGCGUAACACGUAUGUAACCUACCUUUAUCAGGGGGAUAGCCUCUCGAAAGAGAGAUUAAGACCGCAUAACAUCACGAAACAGCAUUGUUUUGUGAUCAAAUAUUUAUAGGAUAAAGAUGGGCAUGCGGGACAUUAGCUAGUUGGCGGGGUAACGGCCCACCAAGGCGACGAUGUCUAGGGGAUCUGGGAGGAUGGCCCCCCACACUGGUACUGAGACACGGACCAGACUCCUACGGGAGGCAGCAGUAAGGAAUAUUGGUCAAUGGACGGAAGUCUGAACCAGCCAUGCCGCGUGCAGGAAGACGGCCCUAUGGGUUGUAAACUGCUUUUGCAGGGGAAUAAACCCCGGUACGUGUACCGGGCUGAAUGUACUCUGAGAAUAAGGAUCGGCUAACUCCGUGCCAGCAGCCGCGGUAAUACGGAGGAUCCAAGCGUUAUCCGGAUUUAUUGGGUUUAAAGAGUGCGUAGGCGGCCUAUUAAGUCAGGGGUGAAAGACGGUAGCUUAACUAUCGCAGUGCCUUUGAUACUGAUGGGCUUGAAUACACUAGAGGUAGGCGGAAUGUGACAAGUAGCGGUGAAAUGCAUAGAUAUGUCACAGAACACCAAUUGCGAAGGCAGCUUACUAUGGUGCAAUUGACGCUGAGGCACGAAAGCGUGGGGAUCAAACAGGAUUAGAUACCCUGGUAGUCCACGCCCUAAACGAUGAACACUCGAUGUUAGCGAUAUACAGUUAGCGUCUAAGCGAAAGCGUUAAGUGUUCCACCUGGGGAGUACGCCAGCAAGGGUGAAACUCAAAGGAAUUGACGGGGGCCCGCAC
rnacentral:rRNA from 1 species